rnacentral:rRNA from 1 species
GUCAAUAGCCUAACGGCUGAACCAGCAAUUUGGGGGAAUGUAUAGUAUAUGCUAAUUGUAUAUUAAAUACAAUAUCGACUAUGUCGAAUAAAGUUCUAGAUAGAAUACUGAUAAUGACAAUUUUCUAUCUAUAUGUCUUGACCAAAUCACGUGCCAGCAGUCGCGGUAAUACGUGGAAGACUAGUGUUAUUCAUCUUUAAUAGGUUUAAAGGGUACCUAGACUGUAUUUCUAGCCCAAAUAGGGUACGGACUUACUAGAGUUUAAUGUAAGAAGAAAAAAUCGGGGAAGUAAUCACCACCCUCGGGGAUUACGACCUUUUGUAGUACUUGAAGUGUAGAGAUAAAAUUUUGUAAUACUUUAAGGAAACUGGUUAUGCGAAAGCAACCUUCUAUGUACAAACUGACGUUGAGGGACGAAGGCUUGGGUCGCGAAUAGGAUUAGAUACCCUAGUAGUCCAAGCAGAAAAUUAUGAAUGUCAUAGAUCAGAUUUAUUUUGGUUUAUAAAUGAAAGUGUAAGCAUUCCACCUCAAGAGUAAUGCGGCAACGCAGGAACUGAAAUCAUUAGACCGUUUCUGAAACCAGUAGUGAAGUAUGUUAUUUAAUUCGAUAAUCCGCGAAAAACCUUACCACAAUUUGAAUACUUAAAAAGUACAAGCGCUGCACGGCUGUCUUCAGUUAAUGUCGUGAGAUUUUGGUUAGUUCCAUUAAAUUAACGUAAACCCUUGCUUUAUUUAGAAUAUAUAUAUAUAAAGUAGUUCACCACUAUAUUGGAUAUGAUAAAAGGGAAUAAGACAAGUCAUCAUGGCCUUAAUAUUGUGG